CUUUUACUGAAGUUAUCCCUGAGCACUGUUUUGCUGUCAUUUUAAGUUAUUUGUUUAAAGCUGUUGUAGGCAGUUUCAUCCCAUUCGAAUCCCAAGGAUGGGCAACACAGAAUCGGCGAAGAAAAAACAAGAAACCAUGAAGGCUUCUCAACAGAGAGGAAAACCGUCAGAGGGAAAACUGCUCAUUAAAACGAAGAAUAUCCUGCUUCUUCAUAGCUCAAAUUCCGCGCAGUUGCAAGUUGUGAGAAAUUUUCGCUACGCACUCACAGCCAAGACGGAGGGAUCCGUUCAUGUGACAAAUUUCGUAAGCAUCGUAGAUACAAAUAAAAUUCCGAAGAACCGUGAAUGGCUUGAUGAAAGAAAUAAUGUUGUUUUACUGUGCCUCACCGCCGACGCCGUUGAACAGUUUCAGAACAUUCUUCUCGAAAAAGAAUUCGCAGAUCAAAACGGCCAACUUCAUUCCAAGGUGUUUAGUAUUACGUUUGGGGAAAGUCUUUCCUCGCUGUGGCCUCCCAAAGGAUUUAAGAGAGGUUCGACCGAUUUGAGAGAUUUCCAUUUCGGGUUUUCAGAGGUAGACAAGCUUCGACCAGAGGAUUUUGAAAAUUCACCAAGACUGAACUCUCUUAUUGCGGCCAUAAAAUUGACAAGCUGAAUUAUUACUUCCUGGGAACUGGGGCGAGUUCUUCUUUGUCUGUGACUUGGGUGGAAAUACUUAGUCUUGCUGAUUCUUUGUAUGAUAGCACAUGUAUUAAAGGUUGAAGAACAAGA